GAGGAGAAGAGUCUAGCUACUGAUGUGGCGCCACCUUGUGGUGGGAGCACUAGGCGUCUUUCACUGGCAGAGCGUAACUGUGGAGAGGGAACCUCGGAGGACGAGAACAUUGGGAACUUUUACAGUUCCACAGUUUGAAAGCAGCUCAGGCCAUGGCUCUCCGGAAAGGAAGAGAAGAAAGAUUGGCUUUCUUGGUGUGUCCCAACGGGAUCCAUGUGAAGCUGCAUCAUCUGAGGUUACAGUUAAACCUCGGAGGAAGAGAACGUUGGAUGAUUUGACAGAUGCUCCACGUGGAAGCAGCUCAGGCAGCUGUUGGAAGAGAAAGAAGAAAAAAUCGGGCUAGGACAGGAAGCAGCUGCGCCCAGUGUGGAGGGCUGAAAGGACCAGAACUUCAUGAAGAGGAUGUAGAAGAUGGUAUCAGUAUUGCAGGUUUACAACCUGCACAGGUGGUAACACACACUCACACACACAAAAAAAUGCCCAGUGUAGUUUAGAGAAUAUAUAGAUGCCUACAUUCAGAAACACACAUUCAUUGGGAUGAAUCUUGUUUUAAAUUGAUUAAUGCUUUUGAUAACUUGCUGUUUGUGUCUAUUUGUUUAGAUUCUCCCAAAGAGGCUCAAAACGUGGCUUCAACUAACACAAAGGAAGACAGGCCUCAGAGGAAAAGGACCAGAGAAACAAAAAAAUGCCCAGUGUAGUUUAGAGAAUAUAUAGAUAUUCUCGUUUUGCAGCCCACUAGACACUCUAAUGUCUCUGGAAGGGAGCUCCCUCUUGUGUGAUCCUUCCCGAGGUUUCUUCCAGGCCCUUCUGUUAAAAGGACAGUUUGGGAGUUUUUCCUUGCCCGCUUGAGGGAAGUGUCUUAAUCAUGUGGACUGCGGUCAUUAUGGCUAGAUGUUUUAAAACCUGGGCAUUUUCAUUAGAAAUUUAAAAACAGGGCCACACCUCGUCAACAUCAGGUCCUAAUUAAAUUCUAAAAUAGAAAUAGAAAAAGAAGCUCAAAAAGUUUACACAUUUAUUUAUA